CUGGAAGUUGUUAACCUUGGAAGAGCAGUGUUUGCAAUUGUUCUUUGGAGAGAAAGAGAAAACUGAGAAACUCCUUGAAUAUAAAUACGUAAACAUGCUGCAGAUUGUUUAAUCAGUGAUGCAGCUAACUAAUUUAACCCUUUCCUAGGUGACUGAGUUUUCUUCUUAACCGGCCUGAGAAAGCAAGCACGCUGCUCCCACCAUCGUGGAGAGCAGGAUUCAGCAGCCAGGCCUGGGCGGGCAGAUGGGUGAGGCGAGCAGGGCAGGCAGGAGCAUCCUGGCUGAAAGCAGACAGCCUGGGUGGAAUGACCAAAGGGAGCGGCAUGGCUGGGGAUGGUGCGAUCCCCCAUGAUGAUGGUGAAGACACAAAGUCAAGUACGCUCCCUUCUGAAAGUUACUAAAUGAACUUCAAUCAGGACUUCAAUUUUCUUUCUGAAAACUGCUGGCAAAACAAGUGAUUCUGUUCCUGGCCUCAGAAUAAGGAAGAACAUGUACGCUUCAGAUACCUGAAAGGAACUGCUGUAUAGUGAAACUGGUAGUCACUUUUAUUCUUCACUUGGAUUUAUCUACGUACAUGAGAAAAUCACAGCCACAGAUAAGUUCAAUUUUAAUAUAUACCUAUAUUAUAACAAAUUAUGUUCCUACUGCUCUCAAUGAGUUACCUGAGAAAUCCCAGGAUAUUAAUUGCCAGCUGGAUAAAACAGUUGCAAAGUAAUUUCACCCAAAUAUUAGUGUUUAAUGCUAAUUGCUAAAACAUGAAUUUUAGCAGCAGCUACAUUUGAUAGUAGUUCUUUGGUUUCAAAACAGUGAGACUGGAGAGAUGUGGGUCAGGUUUGACAGCACAUCCUUGAAAAGGCCAUUUGCUGUUUGGAACAUUAUUUUCCCCCAGUGUAGAGAAAGGCCGGGCAGCACACAAUUUGUGCUCUGGCUGUCACAACACACAGGAGACAUAUCUUUAUCAGUGAUUAUUAGCUGUCCUCUUCAUCCUUGUAUUUGGUCUUUUAUUUUACUUGGCUGAAAAACAGAUUGGAAGAUAGUGCCUAUGUGUUACUGUGUGUGGCAGCAUGGACAAAAUUAUCUGGCCUUUUCUCCUUUUCCAACUGUGCAAAAACAUUAUUUUUGAUUUUGUAGUCUGCUGCAUGAAAAGUUAUAUUGGGUCUGCAUUAUUUCUGUCCUCUAAUACCUGGAAAAAAACCCACUAAAUAUGUAAUUUUAAUGUCCUUUGCCUCUUUCCAGCUAAGUCUAGAUUUCUAAUUCUGCAGUGUUUAACCUUCUGCAUGAGCUAGGUAUUUCCCUGUUCACAGAACUUCUUUUUCCUUUACUUUUUGAUGCAUGUUUCUUUCAAGAAACCUCACACUGCUCAAUAGCAAAAAGAUACUUGAAAGAAAACAAUGUGCCAUGAGAUCCUGGAAUACACUGUAUCUCACCAUGACUGCCCUCCAGAUGUGGGCAUGUGGGGCAGAGACUUUCUCUCGCUCAGACUGUACGUAAGUGCAGCGCCACUGCUUCACGUUUAGUAACCCCCCAUCAGUCCUCCCUAGAUGCCAUUCUGACCUCACCUCACUGCAAGUUUGUUCUUAUUAGGGGCCUGAUCCAUCAAAGCACUUAAGCACAUGGUUGUAGGUUGUAAACCCACCAGGACUUUUUAUAACCCUGUAAAGUAUGUAGAGUGUGUACCUACGGCACUAUAAAAGAUAGGUUUAAGUGAUGCCUGUGAUAAGAGCUAGCCUUUUUUUUUCAGCAGUUAUCCUCUGUAACACACAGUUUCUGCAGUUUGUGUUGCAUAUAUUUCAAAUUAGGCUGGUUUUGACAAAUCGACUGUUUAUUUUUUAGUUUUGCCUUUUUUGUUUUUGCAUCUGUCUAGAAGAGCAUCUAUACCUAAUAAAUUUUCAAGAUAUUCUUCCUUAUCUGCAUCCCUCAAAAAACCAUUUAGAUUCUGUUAGACACUCUGGAGGAAUAUUUAAUAGUUAAAAUUUUUCAAUUCAGCUUCUUAAAAAAAUUAAAGCAAAUAAGAAAACAGAACCAUCGUGGGCCCUGCAGAUACCAGAGAGAGUAAAUCUUAAGGAUUGUUCUGAGAGCACAAUUUCACCCAGUGCAGAAUUUUAAUUUCUGUAAGCACUGAAAAUAAAAAGUAAUUAAACCUCUGCAUAUUCCUCGUGUACUAUAAAUAUAUUAAUAAAAUAGGCAAAGAACACCAACUCCUAAAUUAUUAGCGGUAGUAAAAUGCUGAAUAUUGAAAUAGUUUAAUUUAUUCAUUUAUAAUUUUUAUCAGGCUUAAAUAGGCCUCUAGGAGCAAUUUAACCAUUACAAUAACACAAUUGUUCAGUACACUCAGCAGUUAGAUACACAGAUAUCAUUGCACAAAACCAAAUAGCAAACUACUGGCAAAAUCCCAUGUUCCAAUGUAAAGUGAUGAUGAAUUUACACAAAGACAGCAGAUUGUUCUCUCCUGCCUCCUUUAUGAAUGAGUAACUUCUGUAUUUCAGUGUAAAAACUACUGGUCAGUGAAUCAGUGCCUCACUUUCAGCUGGGACAGAGUUGUUUUCUUUAGGGUGUCUAAUGUAUGAUGCUGUGUAUUGGUUCCAGGAGAAAAACAAUGCUGAUAACACACCAAUGUUUAUAGUUGCUGCUAAGCAGGGUUGUACAGAGAACCAAGGCCAUUCUCAGCAAAGGGCCCAAGGAGAAGGGAUGGAACAGAAUUAGGACAGCUGACACAAACUGACCCAAGGGAUAUUCCAUACUAUACCAAGCAGAAGAAAUUUUGAAGGGAGUGGGCAUUCAUCUCUCUCUCUUACGCCGCUUGGAGGACUAGCUGAGCAUUGGUCAAGGGGUGGUGAGCAAGUGCUUCUGCAUCCCCUGUUAUUUACAUUCACACAUAUACAUACAGUCAUAACUAUUAUCCUUUUCUCUAUCUUAGUAAAUAGUUUUAUCUCAACCCACAAGCCCACAAAUUCUAUUUCUUUUUUCUUUUUUCCUGAUUUUUUCCCCCAUCACACAGGGAAGGAGGGCAGUGAGCAAACCACUGCAUGGUGCUCACUCACCUGCCAGGUAAAACCACAGCAAUCAGUGCAAUAGGUCUGGUUCAAUGCCCACAGAAAGAGACAAGCUCUAAUUGUAAAAAUUCUGGCUAACCAGGGUUUCUGUAAGCUAGUAUAUAUAGAGCGUAAACCUAAGCCCAGAAUGAACUUAGAUCUGUCUUGGAUGUAUUUUAGAGAAAAUUGGUUAAGUCUAACGCCACAUAUAAAGAAUAGAUGAUACAUAUUAGUAGCAGAGACAAGUGUAUAUCCUUUAGUCUAUGUAUUAAAUAAUACAUCUUCAGAAAAAAGGUAUUCAUGUCUAAGGAAAAACCUACAACAUAACAUCUCCAAGAAUUUCAAGUGGUAAUUAUUCUUUCGGAUAAGUAUUAAAAGACAUUGAAAUGAAUGCAUACCUCCUGUUACACUCAGAAUUCUACCAGUAGAAGACAGCUAGUAUCAAAGUAGGGAAAAAGUGAGUGGAUCAGAGAUCUGAAUAGUCUCUUCAUAAAGAUGUAGCUUAAUAUCUCGCUUAUAUCCAAUUUGGGAAGGCUUCCUCCAGAAAUAUAGUAUCAUCGUUAAAGGUUGAAAGAGAUCUCAGGAGGUCUCUAGUCUAACCCUCUCCUCAAAACAGGAUCAGUUCUAAUGUCAGACCAAGUUACUUAGGUCUCUAACUGGUCUGAUCUUGAAACCUCCAUGGCUGGAGACUGCACAGCCUUUGGCCAUCUCAUUCCGCUGCUUGAGUGACCUGAUGCCAUGAGUCCAGAACCACUGCAGGAGUACCAAUGAAAAAAUCUGAUUUCACAAACUGCCUCCAAAUCACCCUGAGGAAACACCAUUUACGUAUACUGUGCAGCUUGCAUUUUAUUUACUUCUUCUUUAAAGGAGAGCUCACUAGGUGAAUAUAAUUAUUAACUAUUACUUUUGGUAGAGGCUCCCUCAACACCUAAGCAAACAAUAUACUUUAUCAUAUUUUGAACAUUUCUUAACCAAGAGAGGUAGAAAGAGUUUUCUAAUUUAUGUAAAUGCUAAGGUCACCACCUGAAUGCGAAAGCACGAAGUUACUGACUUAGGCCUUAAUCUGAUCUAAUCUUAGAUGCAUCUGUCCCCACUGAAAAGCAUAACAGUGCCUGGACAUUAGAUGGCUGCUGCAGAAUCUGCUGCUAUGUUCACCCUAUUCCACGGAUGGAACACAUCCCCUGGACAUACCUCCAGUGCCAUCUCCUCACGAAGAUGUUUAUAAUAUUCAUGUUAUUAUAGAAUCUACAGACCGGGUCUUCCCAACUCUGCAAGCCUUUAAGAACAGAAUUUUCCAGCAAGAAACAUAUUACUUCAAGAGGAGACAGUGAGACCAUACAGUCCUUAAGAGAACUCAUAAAAUGUCAAGUGCUGUGGAAACAGAACAGAAGCCCAUGUUUCAGCCAGGAUUGCAAUGGCCUCCUCCCAUGGGAAUAGCAGCUGCAUAAAUAGGAGGGAAGCCCUCAGUGGAAUUGCUUCCAACACCUUUCUAAUGGAAAUAAUGAUUUGCAAAGUCCAGUUUAUGCCUUUGCCACGUAAUUAGUAGCCAAGAUUAAAAACAUUGUUCCAACUCCCAGCAUCGUUGAAAUCUGGCAAAACCUUAAAUAUUCCGCUGUGUUCCAAGAAGGUAGCCCAUAAGUGAUCAUUGUAAGGACAGUCUUAGCCAGUUCAGUCAAGCCCUUGAAUCAAUCAACACUUAUUAUAUGGAAAUUAACCAGUUUGAUGUCAAUUAGUGGAAAUUUGUUAGCAGACAUAACCUAUGAGAUGUUUUAUUUUGAAUUCCUUGCUCUCCCCACUGAAGCUAGCUAAGAUAGGGAUAAGGACCCAGCCACACAUUUCUGAAGGCCUAGAGUAGAAUUAAUUAAAAAAGAAGUGGAGUGAAGCUGUAGUCAAAUACACAAAAACUCUACUGUCUACAGGGCACAAGAAGAACAAGGAACUGGAUAUCAGAUUUUUUUCUUGGAAGGAAUCAAUUUCUAGUCACAGAUUUUGGUGCAUAACAGUCUAUUCUGUAUGUGUCAAUACUGAGUAUAUGGAGAUAAAAAAAAGUGUAUAUAGUCUGAUGGCAAUUUGUACCCUCAUUUUGUGCUACUUUAAAGGUCCUUUUCUACCAUGUUCUUAUGCGUUAUAUCCUCGUAUUAAGAAAGUAAUAGUUUUUAAAUUAAAAAUGUCUGACUUGAUCAUUAAUUUUCCUCCUAAAAAUAACCUAAAAUAACCUUAAAAAAAAAAAAAGAAAAGUCUGGCUACUCAAGCCAGAGAGGGUGAUGAAAGAUUUCCUCAGCUCUUAAGAACAUUACCUGUCUGGCAUAUGAGGUGGAUUUGACUUUACUGUAAAUUCUAACUUUUGUUUAAAAUUAAUAAAGUACCCUCAUGUACCCUUCUACCUGUGUAUAUCAGCAUUCAGUAUGACAACCUGGUGCUCUACAAUUCAAAUUAAAUAUUAGGACUGUGGGUUCAAUCUCAAAGUUUUACAGCAAUCCUAAAACACUCACAGCUAAGAAGGAAACACAGGAUCAGAGUCUUGCUAUAAUAUGGAAAACUCCUGGCAGUCUUGAAGCCAGGGUU
rnacentral:lncRNA from 1 species